rnacentral:rRNA from 1 species
UCUAAGUAACCGCAGGAAAAGAAAAUCAACCGAGAUUCCCAAAAGUAAGUGGCGAGCGAAAKUGGGAAUGAGCCUUUUGCACUCUUUUAUUUUGUAUUGUUAGCCGAACGCUCUGGAAAGUGCGGCCAUAGCAGGUGAUAGCCCUGUAGGCGAAAACAGUAUGAAAGAACUAGGUGUGCGACAAGUAGGGCGGGACACGUGAAAUCCUGUCUGAAGAUGGGGGACCAUCCUCCAAGGCUAAAUACUCGUGAUCGACCGAUAGUGAACCAGUACCGUGAGGGAAAGGCGAAAGAACCCGGGAGGGAGUGAAAUAGAUCCUGAAACCGCAUGCAUACAAACAGUCGGAGCCUCGUAAGGGGUGACGGCGUACCUUUUGUAUAAUGGGUCAGCGACUUACGUUCAGUAGCAAGCUUAACCGUAUAGGGCAGGCGUAGCGAAAGCGAGUCCGAAUAGGGCGUUCAGUUGCUGGGCGUAGACCCGAAACCAGGUGAUCUAUCCACUGACMAGGAU